rnacentral:rRNA from 1 species
CUACGGGCGGCAGCAGUGAGGAAUAUUGCACAAUGGGGGGAACCCUGAUGCAGCAACGCCGCGUGGAGGAUGACGCAUUUCGGUGUGUAAACUCCUUUUAUAUGUCAAGAAAAUGACGGUAGCAUAUGAAUAAGCACCGGCUAACUCCGUGCCAGCAGCCGCGGUAAUACGGAGGGUGCAAGCGUUACUCGGAAUCACUGGGCGUAAAGGACGCGUAGGCGGGUUGGAAAGUCAGGUGUGAAAUCCUACAGCUUAACUGUAGAACUGCACUUGAAACUUCUAAUCUAGAGUAUGGGAGGGGGAGAUGGAAUUAGUGGUGUAGGGGUAAAAUCUGUAGAUAUCACUAGGAAUACCUAAAGCGAAGGCGAUCUCCUGGAACAUUACUGACGUUAAGGCGUGAAAGCGUGGGGAGCAAACAGGAUUAGAUACCCCGGUAGUC